rnacentral:rRNA from 1 species
ACGCUGGCGGCGUGCUUAACACAUGCAAGUCGAACGGAAAGGUCUCUUCGGAGAUACUCGAGUGGCGAACGGGUGAGUAACACGUGGGUGAUCUGCCCUGCACUUCGGGAUAAGCCUGGGAAACUGGGUCUAAUACCGGAUAGGACCACGGGAUGCAUGUCUUGUGGUGGAAAGCGCUUUAGCGGUGUGGGAUGAGCCCGCGGCCUAUCAGCUUGUUGGUGGGGUGACGGCCUACCAAGGCGACGACGGGUAGCCGGCCUGAGAGGGUGUCCGGCCACACUGGGACUGAGAUACGGCCCAGACUCCUACGGGAGGCAGCAGUGGGGAAUAUUGCACAAUGGGCGCAAGCCUGAUGCAGCGACGCCGCGUGGGGGAUGACGGCCUUCGGGUUGUAAACCUCUUUCACCAUCGACGAAGGUCCGGGUUCUCUCGGAUUGACGGUAGGUGGAGAAGAAGCACCGGCCAACUACGUGCCAGCAGCCGCGGUAAUACGUAGGGUGCGAGCGUUGUCCGGAAUUACUGGGCGUAAAGAGCUCGUAGGUGGUUUGUCGCGUUGUUCGUGAAAUCUCACGGCUUAACUGUGAGCGUGCGGGCGAUACGGGCAGACUAGAGUACUGCAGGGGAGACUGGAAUUCCUGGUGUAGCGGUGGAAUGCGCAGAUAUCAGGAGGAACACCGGUGGCGAAGGCGGGUCUCUGGGCAGUAACUGACGCUGAGGAGCGAAAGCGUGGGGAGCGAACAGGAUUAGAUACCCUGGUAGUCCACGCCGUAAACGGUGGGUACUAGGUGUGGGUUUCCUUCCUUGGGAUCCGUGCCGUAGCUAACGCAUUAAGUACCCCGCCUGGGGAGUACGGCCGCAAGGCUAAAACUCAAAGGAAUUGACGGGGGCCCGCACAAGCGGCG